rnacentral:lncRNA from 1 species
UGCAGCCUGGGUAUGGCUUAAACUCUGGAUCACUUGAAGGUGGAUGGAUAGAGGGUGUUCUAAGAGGCUACUAGCUCUCCUUUGAACUAUGGACGUCUCCCUGAGCCUGUGGGUUGGCGCCAAGGAUGGUUUGCUACUCAAAGACACAAGAUCACCUUGUAUUGUCUAAGAUGGGAUUCACAGGAAUUCCUUCCUUUAAGUGAGAUCAAUGUUCUAGAGCUGAACAGAGAAAGCUAGAGACAAGACAACAAAGUUGACUGAAUAAUUCUUAGAUUGAAAGUUGAGAAACAAAGCUGCAGCCCCCAUGUUCUUAAGGUAAAAAUCGAAAACCCUAAUACUAAACCAAGGUGGUUUAAUUCUAAUUCUAAUCCUAAUUGUCUUUGGUUUAAAUUAAAUGAAAGCCCAAUAACCAAACCCUUACAAAGUAAUUAAAUUAAACCAACAAGCUGGUUUAUCUUGAUCUCCUUGCCUUGAACCAAGGCCCACGGUUUUGGCUAUCUCCUGGAGCCUCUCCUCUUGUGCUCUCAGUCUUGAUCUGGUUACUGGUCCACUCCACAAGCUGGCUAGGUCAUUUGGUUCUUCUCUGCUCAAGUCUGGUUCUUCUCUGCUCAAGUCUGGUUCUUCUCUGCUCAAGUCUGGCUCUUCUCUUCUCAAGUCUGGCUCUCCCUCAUCAGACUCACUCAGCUCUCCAAUGUCUCUACUCAUGGCUACACCAUCCCCUCCUCCUUUAAAAGGAUUUGACCUCAAAUCCAAAUCAUCUGCAAUAAAAGGAUCCAAGUCAGAAACAUUGAAAGUAGAACUGAUUGUGUAUUUCCCUUCAAGAUCAAUCUGGUAGGCAUUGUUGUUGAUUCUCUUCAGCACUUUGAAAGGUCCAUCUUUCCUUGGCAGCAACUUUGAUUUCCUCUCAACAGGAAACCUCUCUUUUCUCAUGUGAAUCCACACAAGAUCACCCGGUUCAAGUACUAGCUCCUUGCGCCCCUUGUUCUUCUGCCUCUCAUACAUCUUGGUCCUCUCCUCAAUGUUCUUCCUGACCUGUUCAUGCAAAGACAAAACAAACUCGGCCUUUUGCUUGCCAUCAAGGUUAGUUUGUUCUUUUAAAGGUAAAGCAAAUAAAUCAAGAGGAGACAAUGGGUUAAACCCAUAAACAACUUGAAAAGGAGAGAGUUUAGUAGCUGAAUGCACUGCUCUGUUAUAUGCAAACUCUACAUGUGGUAAACAAUCCUCCCAUGUCCUAAUGUUACUCUUAAUGAUGGCACGCAAAAGAGUAGACAAUGUCCUAUUGACUGAUUCAGUUUGACCAUCAGUUUGGGGAUGACAAGUAGUUGAAAACAAUAGCUUAGUUCCCAACUUUCCCCACAGAGUUUUCCAGAAGUAGCUAAGGAACUUAGUAUCUCUAUCAGAAACUAUAGUCCUAGGCAUACCAUGCAAUCUAACAACUUCUCUAAAGAAUAGAUCAGCUACCAAAGAUGCAUCAUCAGUUUUAUGACAAGGUAUGAAGUGAGCCAUCUUAGAAAAUCUAUCAACAACCACAAAGAUGCUAUCUCUUCCUUUCCUAGUUCUAGGCAAUCCUAAGACAAAGUCCAUAGAGAUAUCAAUCCAUGGUGCAGUAGGAAUAGGGAGAGGUGUAUACAAACCUGUUGGUUGGACCUUAGACUUGGCUUGCUUGCACACGACACACCUUGAGCACACACGCUCCACUUCUUUCUUCAUACUCGGCCAGUAGAAGUGCUCCUGCAAGGUGGAGAGUGUUUUGGCGACCCCAAAGUGUCCCAUCAGCCCUCCUGCGUGAGCUUCCCUAACAUACAAUUCUCUCAAAGAACCACUAGGAACACACAGGCGGUUAUCAUAGAAAAGAAAUCCUUUUACUUGAUAGAAUUUUCCACUAGCAUGUUUCUCAGAUUCUCUAAACACAUCUUUAAACUCAGGAUCAUUAGCAUAGCAAGAUUUGAUGUGUUCAAAUCCUAAGAGUUUAGUUUCCAUUGAAGAUAAAAGAGUAUACCUUCUGGAGAGUGCAUCAGCCACUACGUUCUCCUUACCUUUCUUGUAGUGGAUGACAUAAGGAAAGGUCUCAAUGAACUCCACCCACCUGGCGUGUCUCUUGUUCAGCUUCUGUUGCCCUUUGAGAUGUUUAAGGGAUUCAUGAUCUGUAUGGAUCACAAACUCCUUAGGCCACAAGUAAUGUUGCCACACUUGUAAAGCUCUCACCAAGGCAUACAGCUCCUUGUCAUAGGUAGGAUAGUUUAAGGUGGCGCCUCCUAGCUUCUCACUGAAAUAAGCUAUGGGUUUCUUAUCCUGCAUCAACACAGCUCCAAUUCCAAUACCAGAUGCAUCACAUUCAAUUUCAAAAGUCUUAGAAAAGUCAGGAAGUGCAAGUAAGGGAGCACUUGUUAACUUCUCUUUUAGCAUUUGAAAUGCCUCUUCUUGUGCUGGUCCCCAAGUGAAACCUACACUCUUCUUGACUACUUCAGUCAGGGGUGCUGCAACUGUACUGAAAUCUCUCACAAACCUCCGGUAGAAGCCAGCAAGUCCAUGAAAACUUCUGACCUCUCCAAUAGAUUUAGGAAUCGGCCACUCCCUGAUAGCUUUCACCUUUUCCUCAUCAACCUGUAUGCCCUGUGAAGUCACAACAAAACCUAAAAAGACAAGGUUAUCUGUGCCAAAAGAGCACUUCUUAUAGUUAGCAUACAGAUUUUCUUUUCUAAGCACAUCUAGAACUUGCUUCAAGUGAUUAACAUGUUCUUUCAUAGUCUUGCUGUAAAUCAGGAUAUCAUCAAAGUAAACAACUACAAAUCGUCCUAUCAAAGCUCUCAAGACAUGAUUCAUUAAUCUCAUGAAAGUACUAGGUGCAUUAGUAAGCCCAAAAGGCAUCACAAGCCAUUCAUACAAUCCUAGCUUAGUUUUAAAGGCAGUUUUCCACUCAUCUCCUUCUUUCAUUCUAAUCUGGUGGUAACCACUCUUUAAAUCAAUUUUAGAAAAGACACAUGAACCAUGUAACUCAUCUAGCAUAUCAUCUAAGCGAGGAAUAGGAUGUCUGUACUUAACUGUUAUGUUGUUGAUGGCUCUGCAGUCCACACACAUCCUCCAGCUUCCAUCUUUUUUUGGCACCAAGAGGACAGGUACAGCACAAGGACUCAUACUCUCCCUGAUAUGUCCCUUCUCCAUUAGCUCAUUGACUUGUUUCUGAAGCUCCUUAGUCUCCACAGGGUUGGUCCUGUAUGCUGGACGGUUUGGUAAAGUAGCUCCUGGUACAAAGUCAAUCUGGUGCUCUAUUCCCCUAAUAGGCGGCAGACCUAUGGGAUUGUCCUCUGGGAACACAUCUCUAUACUCCUGCAAAAGACACUCAAUCUCCUCUGGAAUCUCAGGAGCAGGGUUAGUAGUAGAGCUCAACAAUUCUUUGUAAACUACUAGUAUCAAAUUUGAUUGUUCAAUCACAGCAGUUUUGAUAUCUUUAGCAGUAGCAAAGAGGUUGAGUUUACUUACCUGGCUGGUCUCUUCAAGAAGCAAGGACUUGCUGGCGGCCUUGGACUCUCCUCUCUUCAUUUUGAGAUGCAUCUGAUCCUGGUGUACCUCCUGAGGGGUCAUUGGCGCCAGGGUAACUUGUUUCUCCUUAUGGAUAAAAGUGUAUCUGUUGGUAAAGCCAUCAUGUACUGAUCUCUUAUCAUACUGCCAUGGACGUCCAAGAAGGAUGUGGCUAGCUUCCAGGGGUGCUACAUCACAAGUGAUCUCAUCCUGGUACUUUCCCACUGAUAGCAAUACCUUCACUUGCUUGGUGAUCUUUAAUCCUCCCUCAUCAUUGAUCCAUUGCAACAGAUAUGGCUUAGGAUGCUUGAACACUUGAAGACCCAACUUCUCCACCAACUCAGCACUUGCUACAUUAGUACAACUUCCUCCAUCAAUGAUCAAGCUACAAACCUUUUCUUGAAUCAAGCAUCUGGUGUGAAACAAGUUUUCCCUUUGCUCAUCUUCUUUGGUUUUAGGUUGAGCAUUGAGAAGUCUCCUGGUGACUAAUAGCUCUCCACGGACAGGGUACUCCACGCCUUCCUCAUCAGACUCUUGGCCGGCGUCCUCCUCUUCAGAUAUCACCUCCCCGUCGGCUAAGAUAGUCAUCACCUUCUUGUUGGUGCACUCAUUAGCAUAGUGACCAAAGCCAUGACACUUGAAACACUUAAUGUUCCUGGUCUUAGUAGGUGUGGCUACUCCUUUACCCUUGUCAUCUCUCUUGGUCUCCACUGAAGAAGAACCUUCUUUGGACUUAUCCCCUGGCUUAUCUUCCUUGGAGUAGGCCGGUUUUGAAGCAGGAGUGUAUGAAGACCGGGUAGAGCUCUUCCUCUUGUUCUGCUGCUCAAUCAAAAUAGCCUUAUGUAGCAGUUCAUCCAUGUCCUCAUACUCUUGUAGCUCCAACCUAUCUUGUAUAUCUCUGUUAAGACCUCCUUGGAAUCUAGCCAUAGUAGCUUCUACUUCUUCUUCUAAGUCAGCUUUCAACAUGAGUGUUUCCAUCUCCUGGUGAUAGUCCUCUACACUCUUAGAUCCUUGAGAAAGCCUUCUCAACUUCUGGUGUAGAUCUCUUCCAUAGUGAUUAGGAACAAAUCUCUUCUUCAUCACAGUUUUCAUCUCAAACCAUGAAGCUACCUGAGGCUCUCCAUUGCGUCUCCUGGUAGUAGCAAUCUGAUCCCACCAGCUAAUAGCAUAACCACAGAAUUCAGUAGCUGCUAGUCUCACUUUCCUCUCCUCAGUGAACUGUUGGCAAUUGAAAACCAGUUCAAUCUUCUUCUCCCACUCUAAGUAAGCAUCAGGAUCAUUCUUCCCAUGGAAUGGAGGGAUUCUAAGCUUGAGAUUGCCUAGGUUAUCAGUAGCUGGUCGCCUGCGGUUGUGAUUUCUACCAUGAUGACUAGCCUGAGAUCCAUCAUCACUUUCAUCAGCUGAAUCUUCUUGAUAAUGUUCUCCAUAAAUCCCACGACCCCUAAGCUCAACUCGUUGCCCUCUUAUAGGUCCAAUGCGUGCUCUCUGAACUCCAGCAGCAACCGCGUCCCUCUCUUGCCCUGCAUUAUCACCAGGUAAAGUUUCAUUAGCUUGUUGAACACGGUUGUAAGUAUUUUGCAUUCUUCUGGUUAUCUCAGCUAUCAUAGCCUCAAAUUGAACUUGGUUGAGGUUGAUUUGCUGGACAGCCGGUUCUCCUGAACUCUCAGGUUGCUUUCCAUCUCGCCUCUCUUCACUCAUUGUUCCUGAAAUAGUUAGAGAAAACACAAAGCCAGGAACAAACUUAUAUCUCUCUCUCACUCAAGUUUUCAAAUCGCCAAGUCUCAGCUCUUCCCACAAGUUCAGUUGAAAAACAAAGUUCUACACUUAAGAUCUAGAACUAAAACUCCAAUGAAUCAGAUAGGAAGUAUUAAGAGAUUUAGGCACCAGCUGACUUUACCACCCUGAGCUGGAUUUCUCCUCAGCUAGCUGGAUUACUCUUCAGCUAUAAUUUUUUUUUUUGAUUUGGAUCAGAGAUCUCUUUUCUUUUCUUUUUUUUUUUUUUGAUUUGCAGGGUUGGCUCAGCUGGCUUACAACAGAUAGAAAGAUAAGAGAAGUGUUUGAUGGAAUGAAUGAUCUGAGUAGUCAAAUUGCAAACCCUAACCUUCAAGUGGCUCUGAUACCACUUGGUGCAGCCUGGGUAUGGCUUAGACUCUGGAUCACUUGAAGGUGGAUGGAUAGAGGGCGUUCUAAGAGGCUACUAGCUCUCCUUUGAACUAUGGACGUCUCCCUGAGCCUGUGGGUUGGCGCCAAGGAUGGUUUGCUACUCAAAGACACAAGAUCACCUUGUAUUGUCUAAGAUGGGAUUCACAGGAAUUCCUUCCUUUAAGUGAGAUCAAUGUUCUAGAGCUGAACAGAGAAAGCUAGAGACAAGACAACAAAGUUGACUGAAUAAUUCUUAGAUUGAAAGUUGAGAAACAAAGCUGCCUCCCCCAUGUUCUUAAGGUAAAAAUCGAAAACCCUAAUACUAAACCAAGGUGGUUUAAUUUAAUUCUAAUCCUAAUUGUCUUUGGUUUAAAUUAAAUGAAAGCCCAAUAACCAAACCCUUACAAAGUAAUUAAAUUAAACCAACAAGCUGGUUUAUCUUGAUCUCCUUGCCUUGAACCAAGGCCCACGGUUUUGGCUAUCUCCUGGAGCCUCUCCUCCUGUGCUCUCAGCCUUGAUCUGGUUACUGGUCCACUCCACAAGCUGGCUAGGUCAUUUGGUUCUUCUCUGCUCAAGUCUGGUUCUUCUCUGCUCAAG